AGCAGCCGCGGUAAUUCCAGCUCCAAUAGCGUAUAUUAAAGUUGUUGCAGUUAAAAAGCUCGUAGUUGAAUUUCGGGGUUUAUCCGUCGGUCGGGCUUUCGGGUUUGUACUGGCGUGAUGGAUUCCUACCUUCUGAAUAACCGGCAUGUCAUUAAUUUGGUGCGCCGGGGAAGCAGGACUGUUACCUUGAAAAAAUUAGAGUGCUUAAAGCAGGCUUAUGCCUGAAUACAUUAGCAUGGAAUAAUGAAAUAGGACGGCAUGGUUCUAUUUUGUUGGUUUCUAGGAUCACUGUAAUGAUUAAUAGGGAUAGUUGGGGGCAUUAGUAUUCAAUUGUCAGAGGUGAAAUUCUUGGAUUUAUUGAAGACUAACCUCUGCGAAAGCAUUUGCCAAGGAUGUUUUCAUUAAUCAAGAACGAAAGUUAGGGGAUCGAAGACGAUCAGAUACCGUCGUAGUCUUAACCAUAAACUAUGCCGACUAGGGAUCGGACGAUGUUAAUUUUUUAAUGACUCGUUCGGCGCCUUACG
rnacentral:rRNA from 1 species